CUCCUUUCACCUUUGACCUCCCGCCAUGAUUCUGAGCCCUCCCGAGCCAUGCAGAACUGUUGCAGAUAUAUUGUUCAGUCAAGGUCCUUCCUUGAAUGAUUCAGAAUGUAGCAUCUUCCUCCAAAUCCAUCUGAAUAUAGGAGCAAGAAGAUCCUCGCCAGAUACGUGGGCCUCUUGAACUUGGACUUCCCAGCCUGCAGAAUGGGCCCGUUACUGUCAGAUUCCGGCAGUUGACCCUGGUGAUUUCACAGCAGCAAGCACUGCAGGCGUUCCCAACACACAAGGCAAACUCUGUAUAUGGGCUCACCACCCACAGAUCCAGCUGUCUGUCAUGUCGUUCCCAUAUUGAAGGAACAUAACCUGUUAUUAAGCCAAUUCAGCCCUGGAAGAAGGAACAAGUUUCCAAAAUGCAAUCUUUGAGUUUGGAAAAUGGCAUUUGAGAGGU
rnacentral:lncRNA from 10 species